rnacentral:antisense_RNA from 1 species
CUCUGCGGUGGAACGGGAGGGGGACGCGUUCGCGCGUGCUGAUUUCUUAGGUAUCAGUCUGCUAACCCGCUCUCGUUCUGCCACCCAU